UACGGAGGAUCCAAGCGUUAUCCGGAAUCAUUGGGUUUAAAGGGUCCGUAGGCGGACCUGUAAGUCAGUGGUGAAAUCUCCCCGCUCAACGGGGAAACUGCCAUUGAUACUGCAGGUCUUGAAUUAUUGGGAAGUAACUAGAAUAUGUAGUGUAGCGGUGAAAUGCUUAGAGAUUACAUGGAAUACCGAUUGCGAAGGCAGGUUACUACCAAUACAUUGACGCUGAUGGACGAAAGCGUGGGUAGCGAACAGGAUUAGAUACCCUGGUAGUCCACGCCGUAAACGAUGGAUACUAGCUGUUGGGAGCAAUCUCAGUGGCUAAGCGAAAGUGAUAAGUAUCCCACCUGGGGAGUACGGGCGCAAGCCUGAA
rnacentral:rRNA from 1 species